CCCAAUCCCAUUGUUCUAAGGUAAUAAAUCCUAUAAUUGCUGUAUCCUCAGAACCCAGCACGGGGCACUGCAUACGGUAGAUCUGCUUAACCAUGUACCAAAUGCAUCCGCCUCUUCCCCAACAUCCAUUACUACUGGAACCCACCAAGAACUGAAUUCCAUGGUACUUCUCAGGAUUCUUGAGGUCUGGACUAAGCCCUGGAUUGGGAAAGACGUGUUUAUGAUGCAGACCAGUUGGGGAGAUUUUUCUUGAAGGAGCAGCAGCUUGGGAAUAGCUGACCUGAACUCCUUCCUUGAUUCUUCACUGCACUCAGCACUUUAACACAGCUGUGUACAUACGUGUGUAGACUCUCCCAGACUCAGACAUCUGCGGCCUACUGGACACGUUCCCUUGGAACUGAUGCCCCAGUGAUUCUGCUGCCUCUGCCAGAGUCAGAAAACUGUGGAUGUGGGAAGCUGCCCGUGGAGUCAGGAAGUCAUCCCUACUGAUGGAGCCUCUGCAGCCACCUUGGUCCUGGUCCACACCAGCAAUGUUGAUGCUGCCCUGCAGCCUGCCUAUCCCCUGGCUUAAUUCCGGCUCCAUGCAUGUGACGAGCAGAAAAAAGAAAGUCGCAUCUGGACCUCCGGCGGCAAGGGAGUCUGAGAAAGAUAGAUCUGUGCAUGGUCAUCUUAACCCUCCUGUAUCCUUAAAGCCCAGCACCAGGUCAAGUAUGCAGUGGGCACUCAGUAGUUGCAUGUUAAGUGAAUCGAUGAUUCUAGAAAAGAAAAUUUUGUUUACUGGCUCUUCACCUUUAGCAGGAAGUAAAUUCUCAACGGGGCUUUGGCUCGGAAAGAAUAUGGACCUGAAUGCUUUUCUCUUCCCCUCUCCUGUCCCUCCCUCCUCACUUCUCCUUUCUCCUCUUCUCCUCUCCUCUUCUCUCCCUUCCUCUGUCCCUUUUUGUCCCUUUCCUCCUCCCUCCCUCCUUUCCCUCUCCCUCUGUGUCAGCUUCCACCACCAGGAAACCAGCUUCUCCUGAGAACACACAGGGGGACCCUUCAAACUCAGUGUACAACACAGCCUCUUGAAUUCUGUGCAUUGCCUCUUUUAAUUAAACCCCUCCUUUCAGGAAGUCUCUCAAGGCUAUAAGCUUAUCAGAUCCUGAUGAGCACGUCAUCAAAGCUCCAAUCUGGUAUUAAUGGGAAAUGGCCUUUCCCUUCAGGGAGGGCCAAGCUUCUGUCCUUGGGAACCACUGCAUUCUCCUUGCUGGGAGGACACGUGGAUUUCCCCUCAGUGCUCUCUAGGGUGCUGCAAGCUGGCAAAGUUCACCUGCCCUUUUCAAAAUAUGAAAUACAUGCCUAAUUUCCAACAUCAUUGUGUUCCAUUUUCCCUGAUAACACCUUAACAGGGGCUUUAAUAACUGCAUUCUGUGGAAAGAGACACUGGCGCUGUGCUGUUGGCUCUAGGUUGUGAGCUGGGGCCCUGGCUGUGAGCCCUUGGAGGAAUCCCUUUACCUCUCUAUUCCAGGUUAUUCAUGUUUAAAAUGAAGUUCCUUAACUGCUCUCAGUUCUUCCCAGAAUUCAUGUAAUGAGUUCUAAGUGUCAGUUCUGCUAGGUCUAGGGAGAGGGAUGAAGCCUCUACAUGAGCCAGCCUGUGUUGGUUGGGGCAGAGCCUAGAGAUCCCUGGUUCAGUGAGGCUCCUGCACUAGGGAAGGGACCUCUGAGCUCCUCUUCUCGUGCCAAGCCCAUCUCCGCUCAUCCCAUGCUGACUGCAAGAAUGGUGUUUGCUCAAUGGUCAGGGAAGUGGUGCCCAAGAGCAGGAACCUGGCUUCACUCUGUCUCUCCUCUGGGCAUCAAAGAGGCAGUACCUGCUAGGACCGUCUCUUCCUUUCUAAAAUCAGGAAGUAACAAAAGGCAGGCUGGGAUUGCCCAUAGAUACAGCUCCGUCUUUCUCUCUCUCUCCUGAAACAGCCUGCAGACAUUCCUGAGUUCUUGUGCUGAGAUUAGGUUCAUUGUCAAACCCAAACCCAUUUGUUUUAAAGCCAGUUGUGCAAAAAUAUAUUAAAAAGCAAACAUGCGCAAACCAGAAGCCAGGGUCGGGGUUAUUGAGUGUAGCUUCGAUAUUAAUAACAUGAAAUAGAGUUCCCAGUCUCCCAAUUUCCCAUCUGAAUGGAGCUCUUUCAAAGCCCAGGAAGGCAGAUGGGAUGCACAGGGCAGGAUGGGCCCCUUCCAGGGUUUCUCAGUCCAAUGCCAUCACAGAGGAACUUGAAUGUUAUUUCUGGCAGUGUGGACUGGCUUCACACAGAGAUGAGGUGGCAGACGAUGAGGGACUUCCUGGCCAUAUUAAUGUGUAGAAUGCCUCUAAGCCACACAGGUACAAAGUGAGGGUGGAAACAUUAUUUCUAGCCCUUGGAACUGAUAGAAAAAUACUCCUGACAAAGAAUACAGGGAAUACUGCUGGUGGGACUCAGUAUAAGGUCACUUUGCUGGAAAGUAACAGAGAAUAAAUAAAAUUGAUUGAGUGCCUAUUAUGUGCUUGAAAUCACUUUACAUGCUGGGGCCACAGCAGUUGUCAAAAUUGUUGGAAAUCUCUGCCCUCAUGGAGCUCAGAGUCUAGGGGAUUUUUAAAAAUCACAGGCUGGGCAGAUACUGAAGCUGGCUUUGGGGCCAUUCGGAACUAAAGACUUGAAUUCUAACAAGAUUUCUGUGAUUCAGUUUCUUGCUGUGUCUUGGAGUCAUUUCCUCCAAGCACCUUCUGUCUCUACCUCUGUCAAGAAGAGGACAAAAUAGCCACCAUCCACAUUCUUGUCCCCAGACUGAUGAAGAAGAUGAUAAAAGGGAGGCUUUAGUUGGUAAGCAGAAAGGCACCAUGUAAGUGACAGGCUUACAUCUUGUAUGAAAUCAAGUGGGCAAGAAAGCUUCUGCUCAGGUGGGUACAGCCCCAAGGAGGCUGAUAGGUGAGCACUCUUAGGAACAUGGGCUUGCAGACUUCCCAGUGAAUGCUUCCUUGGGCUGUCAUUUGAACCUAAGAAGAAAGCACAGUUCAAGAAAGAUGAACACAUGUAGCCAACCUGAACUGAAACCAAGAAGGAAAGGAUCAGUCAAAUAGCUGUCUCCUCUGGGCUUGGCUGCCUGUCCUUGGAGAUAAUACUGGCACGUAGCAAGAACUUCCACCUGCAGCAUCCACAGCACAUCUCCAUGGGCCUUAGCAAGAUGCUAUGCAACACGGCUCUUUUCCAGUAUCCUAAUUUUCUGUUCAUAACAUGUUGGGUCUUUGGGAAUCACCAUUAUAAUCAUCAUAAUGUGUUGGGUCUUUGGGAAUUACUGUCAUGAUCAUCAUCAUCACCACCACCACCACCACCAACAUCAGUUUUCCUGGUCUCAUCUUCAUGAUCCUGUUUCAUUUCUUACUACUUCAAACAUUCUUUUUUCCUUCCCUAUGCCUGGAACAUCCUCUGCUCAUUUCUAAUCCCAGAUCUUUGCUUCAGCUGUGGCUCCCUGCACUCCCUGCCUGGGGAAUGCCCCAUGUACCCCCUUUUUCUUGCUAAAAUAUUACACACCUUCAAGACCAUCUCAAGCCCCCCCUUUCAGGAAGCUCUCCUCUAUCUACUCAUGCCCUCCGGUACCUGAGUAUUUGCACAAUAUUAGAACUUAAACAUUCAUCAUUUUAGUCUACAUUCCAGCAACUCUGUAAGGUUGGAAUCAUUUCCUCCAUUUUAUCGAUGAGAUAACAGGUUCAGAGAGGCCGGGUAUUGCCCCAGGAGGAAGGAGCUGGAGCCCCCACAGCUGUGUCUAUUCUACUCUGCCUUGGUGUGCUUGCUUUCCCAGGAGCACACCAGAUGUUGAGAGCAGUAGUUCUCAAACUUCAGGGUGCAUGUACAUUACCAGGGACUGUUUGGCAGACGUUCUGGGGUGGGGAACAAACAUCUGUGUGUGGUUCACCAACGGUCCCUGGUGACUAUGGUUUUAUGGCUGGUCCUGUAGCCAUUUGAGAACCGUUGCCUUCAGAGGUGCACGUAGUCCCAUAACUGAAGAUGUGGCUCCCUGAGGCUCCUGGGAAGCCAACCGCCUCCCCAGACCUACAGAAUGGGAAUGGAAAUCUCCGGGUGUGGGGGUGGGGGCUGGAGGGGGUGGGCCUGGGAAUCUCUAGCUAAGAGCCUCAGGGGUUUUUUAUCAUCUGGCAAGUUUGGGAAAGCUGACUGAGAGUCAGGCCCAUCCAAUUAGCACUUAAUUGUAUCCUGCUUUAUCUUCUUCCCCAAUUAGUUCUUCUGCAUCAGUUAAGCUCCUUGGAGGCCCAGACAACAGCACUUAAUUCAGCAUUGCCCUGAGAGCUGGCAUGGUGCUGGCUAGGUGACUGGCAUUAUGGAAAACUGACUGCAUCUGCUUUAGGAAGAGAGGCAUGUCCAGAGUGGAAAUUCUGGAAGCUCCUUGCAAAACUAAUACCUGGGCUUCUGCACCUCCCCAGCUUGAUGUCUGCUCUUAUCCCUCAUCUCUGCAAAGCCAGGUGCUUCCUCUUGCUUAAAGACCAGCUCAAGGCUCUCUUAUUCCAAGAACUGACUCCAUUACCUCCAGCUAGAUAUAAGCCCAUGGGUCUGUGGAUCCUUCUGAUGUGAAUUUACCUGGAUUUCUGUUUUUCACGGACAGAGGGCUUCAGGAAAGCUCCUGGCCUGACAUGAUGCUAGGCACAUAGUAUUGCUCUUUCCUUCCUACAUCCUCUUCUAGGGAGGGCAUCUUAUCCACCUUGAACAUUCCUACCAUGGAAAACAGUGGCUUGCACAUAGCACAAGGUCAGUUAAUAUUUUGGAUUCCUACAUAAGUCUCAGAGAUGUUAAUAGGAAUUACCAUCUUGUUGCAAUGAAUGUGAGCAAGUAUGUGUUGUGCACAUAAAUUAUCCCACUCCCGCCAAAGGACUAUGUUACUCUUUUUCAAUUACCCAAGCAACUACUCCAGUGCCUUAUGCAUGAUUACCUUCUCUAAGUAUUUUCUUUCUAAAUUAAUACAAUUAUUAACUUCUCAGGGUGUGAACUGUAAAGGGGAAAAUGUGUGCUUCUCUGUUUAAAACAUUAGUAUCUUUAUUUUAAAUCUACUCCAGACUUGCCCAGACUCCUUCACUACUCAGAGUCUCUGAGCAUCGGCUUCCUUAACAUUCAAAAUGGAAAUGAUAAUAAAAACUUUGCACAUCUCUAAAAAUCUCUGAAAAAAAAAAUUUGUCACAUUGAACACAUAAAGCAAGCACUGGAUAAAUUGUAGCUGCAUGGUAUAGUACAGACAACUUGAGACAUAGAUGGAAGGCAGAGCCUAUAUUUUAUUCCUGCCAAACAAAAAUUAAAACAAAGGCAUUAUAAGAACCCAGUGUUGGUGACAUUUGUGAUGGAACAGGCACACUUAUUUUGGAGGCCUGUUUAGCAAUGCUUACCAGGAGUCAUAAAUAUUUUCAUAUACUUUUACCACCGCACAGCAGUUCUAAGAAUUACUACAGGAGAAUGAUUUUUAGAGAGGAACAAGUUAAAUAUAGGCAUCAGUGUAAUUUACAAAGGUGAAAACAAAAAGUAACCUAAAUGCACAUGAAUGGGAGCAAGGUUACAUAAAUUACAGUGCAACAAUGUAAUGGAAUAUCUCACAGCAAUUAAGAAGGCUAAAGACAAAUCCCAGGUAGAAACAUUUAGUGAUUGAAAAUAAUAAGUGUAAUGGUAAAACACAAUUUUAUGUAUACUUUGAUUAAAAUGAUUCAAAAUGAUAUAUUUACUUACAGCCGUGAAGAAAAGAAUAAAGACAUGAACAUGUUUGCUGUGUUAUAUUAGUGAAAUUAAAUUUAUUUUAUACAUGCUAUAUAUGUAUGUAUACAUGCAUGUGCGUAUGUAUGUAUACAUUUAUGUAAAUAUAUAGAUGCAUGAAUACACAUAUGUAUAUGUAAAUAUGUAUAUGUACAUAAAUGUGUAUGUACACUUAUAUAGGUGUAUAUGCAUGUACAUAUGUAUGUGUAUAUGUAUAUGUGUAUAUCUACAUAUGUAUAUGUGUAUAUAUACCUUUAUGUACAUAUAUAAAAAUAUUUUAAUUUUUAUUUUAAAUACUUUAUAUAAAAUUUACACACACAUCUAUAUCUAUAAAAGUAGAUAUAUGUAUAUAUCUGUAUACAGAUAUAUAUGUAUACAUAUAUACAUAUAUACACAUAUAUACAUAUAUACAUAUCUGUAUACAGAUAUAUAUACAUAUAUAUCUGUAUAUAUGUACAUAUAUACAUAUAUACAUAUAUAUGCAUACAUAUAUACAUAUAUGCACAUAUACACAUAUAUGUACAUAUAUGCAUAUAUAUACAUAUAUACAUAUAUACACACACAUAUAUAUAUACAUGUCUACUUUUGAAAAUCUUCCUAAUAGUUCUGCAAGGCAGGUUUUAGUACCUUGAGGAAACAGGUGACAAUAUUUUACUAAAUCACAUAUCUAACAAAAGUUAUCAUAAGCCUUCAAAUGAACCUUGGCCCACCGGCCCCCAAAUCUUUGCUUUUUAAAAUUAUUCACAAAUUGUUUUCCAAUGUGUGUACAUUUGAUGUUGGUUUCUUUUGAUAACUCAUUUCCAAUAAGACCUUAUUUUAUAUUACAACAAUGAAGAUAGAUAAAUAAAUACAUCAAAAUAUUUAUUAUGUGUACUACAUACAUUUUAUAAUUAAAAUGUGCUAGAUUGUUACCUUGUUAGCUCCAAUCAACCACCUCCCAGUAUUCACAGUUUUGUGUAGUCCCAUUUCACAUAGGCACUAGACUUGGCUAUGUGAUGUGAUGUGUUUUGGCCAAUGGGUCAUUGGCAAGCUUGAAAUAAGAACUUCAUAAGUACUUGUGAGUUAAGGUUUGUCCUGUUAGAAGCUAGUCACCAUGCUAUCAAGACACCCAAGCUAGCUGCAUGGAGAUGAUGCAGGAUUUUUCUUGAUCCCUUUGCCAGCUGGGGACCUCCAGCCAGCAAUGACCCUGCCCAGGCCUCACUUGAGCAUGCUACCUGUUGCAGGAGGUGGCCUGCCCACCCAGCCCACCUGGGCUGCACCUGAAUUGUGAACUGGCUUAGCCCGAAGCUGGGCUGGGCAUGCUCUAGCUCACCUGUGUUAUAGCUCAUACCUGUGUUCAGUGGUUCCUGAGUUCUUGUCCCGCGUCCAAGAAGAAUGAGGAUAUGCUGACAAUUGAAGGGUGAGGAGAGCAGAGAAGAAUUUUAUUGAGUGAUGGAACAGCUCUCAGCAGAGAGGGGAUGUGGGGGUAGUCCCCCACCUGAAGUUGGGUGGUUUCUCUUCCAGUGUAGCUGAAUCUGAGGCUUUUAUGGACUCAGAAUAGGGGAGUGCAUGCUGAUUGGUUUGUGAAUAUGCAAAAAUGGUUAAAACAAAGGCACCACUCAAAUGUGGGCAUGACAGUGUAAAUAAACCAAUUAGGGAAGGGUAGGUAUAUGUAAAAUAGGUGAAGGGUGAGGAUCAAUCAGAGGAAAGCAUGCCCAACAGGAAGAUAGAUUCUCAGUCUGGUCUGUGGAUUUGACUUGUAGUUAGGCUUAAACUGUCUUUGGCUUGGAGAUGGGGUUUCACCAGGGACACGCCCCUAUCUGCCUAUGCAUUUGUCUGCCUCCUGCCACUAUCAGAGAGGCCACAGAGAAGAGAAUUGAGGCUUCCCAGAAAAGAGCCCUGAUGAGGUCCCCGCUCACAAUAUGGAGAGAUCGUUUAGGAUUACCAGCCCCUUUGAAGCCUCCAGAAAAUCACAGCUCUGUUAGUAAUUUUUGUGGACUCCAUGCAAAGAAAAGAAUCAUUUAAUGAGCCCAGUCAACCCAUAGAAUCAUGAGAAAUAAUAAAUCUUUGUAGUUUCAAAGCGCUAAGUUUUGGGAUGGUUUGUUAAACAGCAAGAGAUGACCAAUAUAUCAGACCUGAAAAAUUUAAAGCACCAGGAAAAUUUUAAAGUACCAGGAAAAUUUUAAAGUACCAUCCUAGCACAUAGUAGAUGCUUAAUUAAAAUGUCUAUGAAGAAGAAGGGGUCAAUUCUGUCACUUGGCAUUCAGAUUCCCUUUUUGCUCACUAUAGCCUUCCACUUUAAGAAGAGAACCAACAUCCCUGUUGAACUGGAUUCAUCUGCAAACCAGGCCAGCAAUCCUGGCUCAGGCAGGCCUUCCAGGAGGGCAAACUGUAUAGUUCUAUAGCAAAGGGGGCAUUGUCCUUUCUGAAAUGCCAGAUCCUUUAUAAGCUGGAGAGUUACAGUCACUGUUUGGUAAUUGCCCUGCCCCCUGCUAGUGCUUCCAUUCUUGGCUCUUAUAAUAAAGUUCAGUCUCAUGCUCAUUUUUUAUCUUCCUAAAUGGGGCCUGCCAUGGAGCAGCCAUUUGUAUUACGAUCUUAGGCAACCAUGACUGUUCCCAGCCACAGCAUCCCUAAUGCCACUGCCUUAGUUCAGACCCGUAUCAUUUCUCCCCUGGAUAAUUACAACAGCCCCUAACAAGUCUCCUAGCAUUUUGGCAUACACUCCUCUAUUCCAUUCUCUGUAGCAGGCAGUAGGCCAUUUCUAAAGUACAAACUAAAUCAUUUCACCAUGCUUUUUAAAACCUUCCAAUAGGCUCCCCAUUGCCUCAAAGCAAAAUUUCUCAGACUGGAUUAAUGAGUGAGUGUUCCACAGGGUGUGGGCUAGGAAUGAGAAUAUAGUUUAACACAUUUGGGAAACCCUGGGUUAAACAUGGUUAACCAGGUAUUUUUGUGUGUUUGUUACAGGAUUUCUCAGAGCCUUUAAUAUGCUGAUGCAAAUUGUGAAUCUUAUCACAAGAGUGAUAUAAAAUCAACAUUUACCAAACUUGCUUUCUUGGCAGACUAUCUUUGGUUCCACUGAGUUGCAGUUUAGAAUUUUUCAAGUAUUUCCAAGUCCCUUAGUCUGGUAGACAAGUUUCUUCAUAAUCUGACCCCUGCUUAUUUCUUCAGCACAAGUCUCUACAUUUCUCCCAGGUCCUUGCUUCUUGACAAUUUGGUUCCUAUGUACCUGCUUUCCUUUAUCUAAAGUCAACCAUCCUGUUCUUUCAUAGCCCUGGUUAAUUCUUAUUCAUCCUUUGAAUCUCAGGUCAGUCUUCUCUCCUCUGGGAAAUCUUAUCCUAUCCCCACCAUACCUCAUCCCACCCCACCCUCCCUUGGGCUGAGUUAUACAUUCACCCUAUGACAUCCCAUGCUUUUUCCUAUUAUAUUAACUUUCACACAACCUUAGAGUUUCCUGCUUGUCUCUCCUUGUAGAUUGCAUGUUCCUUUGGGCAGGGCUGUCAGCAGGGCACUUAGUGUGCAUUCAGUAAGUGUUUCUUGAGUAAAUGAGUACUGAGAAAUAGAAUGCAUUUUGUGAAAACAGUUGUUGACUAAGAAUUUUCUGAAUGCAGUCACACUGAUAGUAGAUACCUUUUCAGGUGCCAAUCCAUCUAUGGUGUAAACAUGUCUCUUAUACUGACCAUACUCUACAGGUGUUCUCUGUGAUACUAUCUCCUGGGACCAUUUAAAUUCACAUGAAGAAAACUGAGCCGACCUGACUCAUUCUCUGAGGAUUCGAACUUAGGAAUUGUUAGAAGUUUAUUCAAACUGCAGAAUCAUAAACUGCAGAGCUCUGGUGGCCGUUUUGUGUAUGAGUAAAUGGGAGCGAUGGAAGCAGUUCUGUAGAAAGAGAGGGAGAGAAGUGAAGGGCAUUGGGCUACAGAUGUUCCUCGAUGUCCCAAUAAACCCAUCAUAGAGUUGCAUGAUGUUGAAAAUAUUCUAAGUCACAAAUACAUUUAAUACACCUAACCUACUGAACAUCAUAACUUAGCGUGCCUUCAGUGUGCUCAGAACACUUAGAUUAGCUUACAUUUGGGCAAAAUCAUCUAUUUAACACAAAGCCUAUUUUAUAAUAAAAUAUUGAAUAGCUCAUGUAAUUUAUUGAAAACUAUACUAAAAGUGAAAAACAGAAUGGUUGCAUGGGUACCUGAAAUAUGGUUUCUACCAAAUGUGUAUUGCCUUUGCAACCAUCUUAAGUCAAACCAUCAUAAGCUGGGAACUGUCUGUAUUUAGAAAAAAGCAAAGAUGGAGAGGUAUUCCUAACCCCCUGGGUUCCUAAUUUCUCACAGAUUUCUCAUUUCAGCACUAGCUGAGGUCUGGCUAUCAGCCUGUCACAGAGUUAGGAGUAUGUCAUCACAGUGAUUUUUCUUUCCCCUCCUCCAGCCUAUUUGAAGGAGGCCCUGUUAUGUGUUACCAAUAGGGUCUUUACUAAGCAAUGUCUAGUUUUUUUCCUUGAAAAACUUGAAAUGUGAAUGGCUCUCUCAACAUGCUUCUCUUUGUAACAGCCACAUUGUGAAUAUUAAUGGCAGUACUUAAGCAGGUCGAUUGUGCACUGAGAAUAUGAAAUAUGCAUGUCACUUAAAAACAAAUGAUUGUCCAUACAGUGCUUGGGCUGAAUUAUUCUCCCUCAGGUUGUCACACCUGAUGCAGAGGGAAGCUAAGGCAAUGCAUCUGUGCCAGACUUUAUAGAUCCCAAGGUCAGGAUCAAAAUGUGCAGAUUCAGGAAGAUGCUUUUUCACUAAUGAUUUGUUACCGUUAACUUGACGCACUGGGUGGAUUUAUAUAGAGAAAAAUGUUAAUAAAAUGUUCUUCGAGCUACAUUUCUGCUUUGCUGAGUUGUCAUUCCAUUAAGCAAAUUUGAGGCAAUGUAAUUGCUAUAAGAUUCUACAUAUUUGCAAAUGAAUUUGUGAGUUUAUUUGGGAAAUGAAUGGGUUUUAACUUGGCUUGUUGGACUAAUUUUAUUUUGCUGUUUCCAGGAGAUGUCCUAGCGAG
rnacentral:lncRNA from 10 species